UAUUGUCUAACGCGUCCAAGGCGACAGACACUGGCGGAUUUAUAGAUGACAUGUGCCGGGAAUUGUGCUCUCCUUCAUGACAGUUUGAUAAGACGAGAACUAUUUGCCAGGGAAUCUAGGGUGACCACCAGCACAAGGUGUGCUUGCUGCCUGGCUGUACAUUCGUUUCAUUGCCAUAAAUUUGUAUAAAAUUUUACACAAAAAUGGCAGCAGAAACGGCAAGCUCUCGGGAACAGGCAAAACAUUAUUUGUCCACACACAAAAUCCCUCAGAUGUUUGAAAGCCUUCUGAGUUGCUUGAUGCUAGAAAGGCCUGAUGAUCCUGUCAUUUAUAUUGAGAAAAAGAUGGCAGAGAUUAAGGAAGUUGGACUAGAAAACGUCAACUGGGAAACCUUUGUAUACCAUCUUCAUCCAUACCGGGACAUUGUCAGACGAAGGCAUGUCCACGAUGGAAGUAAAUUUGAUAAAGAACGUGAGCUUGAUGAAACAUCAAAAUUAGAAAUUGAAAGAUCAAAAUCUCUUAGUCGAGGAAGCGACUACAAACCUGAAGUUUUUCAACUAACAGAGGCGGCUCAAUAACAGAAUACACAUAGAGAUGUGUUUUGAACUGUGUAUCAAUAAGAAAAUGAGUUGAUUUUUUAUAUUUAAGAUGUUCAUGUCAGUCGAUUUUCACCUCAGGCAUCUGUUUAUUUUAUCAAAUAACUAUUGAGAGGUUUUUAGAACAUGCAUUACAAGGUGAUGCCAGAAAUGUAGGAAUCUAUCUGGAGAUACGUUAUAUGAUUACACGUACGAUAGUUAAUAAAAAAAAAAACAGCUGGAUUUAUUUUGAUAACCACACUGGUUGAAAUCUUUUUUUCACAUGAAAUAUUCUGAUGUUCAUAUUGUUUAUGUUUCACUAUUCUCUGGUCUUACACUCUUUCAACAGGUAUUUGUGUCAUUUGUGUUAAAAUGGAGAAAUUUUUCUGUUUAAAAAAAUAUCUAUGUGUAAAUAUGUGUCAUCGAUGUGAAAUACAGAAGAGUCAAGAUUGGUUUUGCAGUGUGUGUUUUUACUUUCAUAGUAAGUAAUCUAACUACAAAUGAACCAGCUUAUGCAAUGUUUUCACACUUUUAAUCAAUCAGAAUAGUUCUGUAAAAAUUAUCAUCUCUGACUGUAUUCCAGGGACUUUUAUUUUAGAUAUCAAAUAUCAUUUUUUAGUGGGACAUUUCUAUAAACAAAAAUUCAAACUUUACAAACUUGCUAUUGUCCGAGUAUAUAUAUUUCCUGAACAGUUUCAAUGACAUUUGGAAUAUAUAAUUACUGCAAUUUCAAGGUACAGAUAAUAUGCAUGGUUAUAAACUUGUAGGUUGGUGCGGGUACAUGUAUAUUAGAAUAAGUUGUAACUGGUUCCGUUAUUUAGAAUCAACAAAAUAUCUUGGUCUACAACUUCAGAAUGACAUUUUAUUUACAUGUUAACAGUUUUUGACAAUGAGUUAAAAUACUCCAAUCAGCUUUUUGUUGUAGUUUAAUAUGAUAAUUGGAUCAUAUUACCUGAAAUCUUUUUAAACCCAGAUUUUGUUAUAUCUAAUAUAAAUUUUAAAACUACAUAUCAGUUUUUCGAAGUGAAAAUGAAAUCAAAAUUAAUCUAGGACUAUGUUCUUUUAUUCAGUUAAGAUCAUCUAAAAUUUAAUGUUAAAGUUUGUAUUCAGUUAAGAUCAUCUAAAAUUUAAUGUUAAAGUUAGUUGACCAAUGAUAUAAUGUAACUAGUGGUAUAAGAUGUUUAGUUAUGUAUCUAGUAUGUAGAUAUUCAGUAUCUUAGGUUAGAUUUUAGUAUUUGAAUGCAAGACUUACAACUAGAUAAUCAGGAAUUUGGAGAGGAGCAUUAAGAUUUGAGGGUCAAUAAUGAAGAGAGAUGGAAGCUAUGUCAAACAUUAUCUUCUAUAUUUGACAAUCUUUGUAUAUCUGAAGAAAUUAACUAGUCUUUUAUUAUUGAACAUUUUUUACUUGCAUCAAUUUUUUUUUUGUAUAAUGAUAAGUAUGACUGAGAGAGCAUUGUUUCUUGCCAAGAUAACAAGAUUGCUGAUUUUUUACAAGGAUUCUGUGGGUAAUUAAGAUACAUGUCUAUGAUAUGUCAUACAACUUUCAUACAGCAUUUUUUUGGGAUGUCUGCAUUAACAGAAUCCCUAAAUGUGGAAGAUGUAUAUAAAACUGACAUGGUAGAUUAUAAGUGUGCUAUACAAGUUUUUGAAGAGACAUCAGAAACUAAAAUUUUGUCAGGAUUUUAUGCAUUGUAAAUAAGGUUAAUGUCUACUUUUAUAUUGUUUAAAUUUUUAAUUGAAAAUUAAAAUGUUAUUAUAUCAAACAUAGGAAUUUAAUAUUUAAUCAUGUUCAUAUUACUUUCAAUACAGUUUGUUUACAAGUCUAUCACAAUGAAGACAAGUUUUUUCAUUGAUUUUAGUGUAAGUUAAAUGAUGUAUUACUUAAACUGAAGCAGUGAUUUGGGGAGUUACAAGCAUUGGUAACCAUUGAAAAGUAUGCCAAAAAUCUAUACAUGUACUUUAUGCUGCUAAAACAGGGUGUGAUAAUGAUGUUUUUAAAGAAGUUAUGUUUAUGGCCAUUUUUGGCUUUACACUGCAGGAAACGGACAUGUCUAGUGACAAUGAUCCUAAGAUAUCUAAAGCAGACAAUGUGUUUUAAUGUAUUGGAGGUGACCGUCCUGAUGUACCAUAUACACAUAGUCUGAUAGGAGUUAGAUAGAUGUAAAUGGUGUUAUG